GAUGAAGAACGCAGCGAAAUGCGAUAAGUAAUGUGAAUUGCAGAAUUCAGUGAAUCAUCGAAUCUUUGAACGCACAUUGCGCCCGCCAGUAUUCUGGCGGGCAUGCCUGUUCGAGCGUCAUUACAACCCUCAGGCCCCCGGGCCUGGCGUUGGGGAUCGGCGGAGCCCCCCGUGGGCACACGCCGUCCCCCAAAUGCAGUGGCGGUCCCGCCGCAGCUUCCAUCGCGUAGUAGCUAACACCUCGCGACUGGAGAGCGGCGCGGCCACGCCGUAAAACACCCAACUCUUCUGAAGUUGACCUCGAAUCAGGUAGGAAUACCCGCUGAACUUAAGCAUAUCCAAUAAGCGGAGGA
rnacentral:misc_RNA from 1 species